ACGGGGCGCAGCAGGCGCGAAAACUUCGCAAUGUGGGAAACCACAACGAGGGGAGUCCAAGUGCUUGCACAAUGUGUAGGCUGUUUCCGUGCCUAAAAAGCACGGAGAGUAAGGGCUGGGUAAGACGGGUGCCAGCCGCCGCGGUAAUACCCGCAGCCCGAGUGGUGGUCGCUAUUAUUGGGCCUAAAACGUCCGUAGCCCGCCCGGUAAAUUCUUGGGGAAAUCGGUCAGCUUAACUGACCGAAGUCCGAGGAGACUGCCGGGCUUGGGACUGGGUGAGGUCAGAGGUACUUCAGGGGUAGGGGUAAAAUCCUGUAAUCCUUGAAGGACCACCAGUGGCGAAGGCGUCUGACUAGAACGGAUCCGACGGUAAGGGACGAAGCCCUGGGGCACAAACGGGAUUAGAUACCCCGGUAGUCCAGGGUGUAAACGCUGUGGGCUUGGUGUUGGGAGUCCUACGAGGGCGCCCAGUGCCGGAGAGAAGUUGUUAAGCCUACUGCCUGGGAGUACGCUCGCAAG
rnacentral:rRNA from 1 species